CAAAUUCUUUGGCUCAGUUACAAGGUUCUUAAUCCAGAAGACACACAUGCAUAAAUUGAAAGAGAAAUAGCAUUACAGACAAUCUCAGUUUCAUUUCACUCCUGAGGUAAAAAGCACUCAGUGAUGCAAAUAGAAUUUUAUACAUAAUAUUUGUGUAGAUGUAAACGGUCACGAGACAGCGGCCAAGAGUCAAAACUAGAGUCUCAGUUCUAGAGACAGAACUGUUCUGUGUAUCAAACAUUAUUCUCCACUUUUGUAUGUAAAGAGGGCUGGAAGUUACAGAAGAUUUUAUGAUUAUCCUGUGUCUUCAUUGUCUGGAACUAUGAGGGAAAAGUUGAUUCAGUUCCAGUUAAAAUUAAGGGUGGCAAACUAGCUUGCACAGUCAGCAGUUCCAGCAGCCUGCCUGGUGAGUUUGUGCUGAGCUGAAGUAUUUUGCUUUGAAAAAUAAAUCAUUGAUUGUCAUAGCA
rnacentral:lncRNA from 1 species